GGGAAAAAAAAAAAAAAAAAAAGUGAAAUAAUCAUAGAGGGGGAGGCUGCUGGAAGUGUUUCAGGCUUUUCUCUCCCUUAGCAGGAGGGAGUUCAGUUAUCCUUGUCUUGUAACAUGCCUAAACCUAACAAAGUACACGGAGUUUUGCCUAUAGGCUCUGCAACAGAAUUUCAGUAGAUUUAUGGCAAAUAUAUACAGUUUCCAUUUUACUGCAGAAAGAGGCAUUGCUUUUGUUUUCUAUAUACAAAAUCCUUUUAUUCUAGUGAGAUGGGGGGGUGUGACCAAACCACCAAGGACUCUUUCCACCUGUAUGAUUUAAUUUGCAGUGUCUUUCAUUCUAUCUGAUAAUGCUACAGUUUAAUGUGAUGAAGCUACUUCUAUUGCAUUUCUUCCUUGUUUGCAGAAAGCUGACACGUUCAGCAGUCACAAAAUACGUGUCAUGGUGCAAAGAGGAAGGAACCAAAUAUUCCCCCUUUCCCACAAAACUGAAAUUGCAGAGGUACGAAACAGUUCAGCAGUGGUUCACAUGUUAUGAACCAGAAUCCUAUAAGAUAAAUGAAGGGCUGUGGAUGAAACACACUGUAGAGAAAAAUGUUGUAUCUAGCAGGGGCAAAAAAGGACAUUGGUGCUGGGGUUGUGUGCAGGUGACUGGAAGGCAGCCAAAGUUUGUGCUUCACCUCAGAUGAGUUCAACAAGUAGCAACAGGCUUUUUUUCCCCUGUGUAAAUCGGAUAAAAUCCUAACUCUAACAGCAGUACUUCACAGGUAUUCUGCAGGGAGAACUAAUGCCAGUGUCCUUGCUUUCUAGAUACUUUUCUUUCAUCUUCCUGGCAUUAUGUCAUAUUUUCAACUAAUUGCAGACUAACACAAGGUGGUAGGGUGUUGGCAGUGAUUUCCAUGCUUCCAGAAAUGCAGUCAGGACUUCACCAUGUCUGUCAUAUAUAAAUGGCAGUAGUACCUCUUAAAGCUCUCAGUAAACAAAAUGUUGGUAGUGCCUUCAUGAUGGCUGGAGGGGAAUGAACACGACCAUUUCAUUGGCGCUUUCCAGCAUAAUUUUGCCAGAGUCCAACUGACAUCCACGCUUACCUAAAUGAUGGAAAAGUUUCUCGGUCCUUGAAAGCUAGCCAUACUAUAUUGGAGGGAAUACAGAGAAUAGUACUUUUCCAGUGGUUUCCUGUCUAUCGCACAGUAAGGUGGAAAGAUUGAACAGCCCCCAAUUCUGACACUUGUAUAUCAGACAACGUGCAUGAAGGUCUAAAUGAUUUUAAAGAAAAUAAGCAUAUUUGCGCUAAGAAUGUGUCCCACUCCAGGAAGAUACAGUUUGCACUGUGAGCAAAUUAGUCUUUUUGUUCAACUUCGUAUUUAAAAAAACCCAACAACCCCAAACACCCACUCUUAUCCCCUGCCCCAGGACUGCUUGGUUUUGUGCCUGGCAGGCUGGCUUUGCUCUGAAGCUUACUAGUUCUCCUUACCGUGUAUAUUUUAAUGUCGACACUGAUCUUCAAUCAGCAUUGCCCUGGCCUUCCAGUGGAAAUAUGCCAAAAUGUCACAGGUUUCCAAAUGAAAUGCAAAUACUGAACUUUCUGAAAUUUACUGAUAGUAUUUUACUCCUUUACUGCAUCUGAGCUGUACCAACGGAAACAAGGGCUUAAGAUUCCUGACAGCAAAGGCAAAGCUCUUUGCACUUGCCACUCCACAGACGUCUCAGCUGGAUGGUCCGUAACACCUCGCGAGAAGAGUACGGGUCCUCUGCUUGCUCGCUCGCUCAGCAUAAUGAAAAGAAGCAAUGAAAUACUCAAAGUCAGAGCCAUUCUCACUCUGUGUAAAUCUGCUGCAGUACAUUUUGUUACCUAUGUACAGAUCCAAGAAAAAAUUUUGGCCCUCACCAUGGAAUAUUCACUCACUUUCAAAUCAGACGGAUGUGACCUGCCUUCUCCUUCUGCGACUAACAGGGUGACCAGAGGCAGCGGAUCGUACACCAGGAUUGGAAAGAAUAAAACCAGAGGGAAAGCAAGCUGUCAAGAGAACAGUGUACUGAAGAGGAAAAAUGUAAACAUGACUUCUAUUUACCAAGAUUAAUAUGUAAAGUUAACAUGUUUGUCAUGGAAUAUAUUAAUAUGUAUGUUUUCCCAUUAUGUAGAUCUUUUCUUAUAUUACUUAUUAGAAAGGGAUAUAAUCACAAUGAUGGGGCAAGAAUGUCACUUAAAAAUUAGGUGAUGCCCAGUCAACAUAAUAUAAGCACUACAGUGUCAUUUCCGAUUUAGAUGCGUUGAUAUCAGUGUAAUUGCCGCUGGGAAGAAAUUAUAAUGGCUGUUAAUGAUAAAUAAAAUGACAAGAAGGAGGUUCCUCCUUCACAUAUAAUUCCAAGCA